rnacentral:lncRNA from 10 species
UUUUUUUUUUUUGUAGAGACAGGGGUCUUGCUAUGUUGCCCAAGCUGGUCUUGAACCCAGCUUCAGGCAAUCCUCCUGCCUUGGCCUCCCAAAGUGCUAGGAUUACAGGCGUGAGCCACACUGCACCCGGCCUCAAACUGCCAUUGUUUUAGGCUUCUCUAAUUACACAUUUUAAAAUGUAUAACCUUUCUCUGGCAGAAUAUAUGGGCUGCCUAUUUACAACAGAUGUAUCUAUUAAAUCUUCAGAAUUUUUUCUACUCAUAUAGAAUUUUAAACAUCUUCAUUAAUAUAUUUCUUUCUCUAUUUAUAUCACAUUGUAUGCAUAUAUGUAACCACUGGACUUUUUUAACUUAAGUAAUCAGGAGGUUGAGAGUUCCGCACAGUUUGCAUAAAUAUGGUGUACUGGAUAGGAAUGUGGGAUCUGGAAUUCAGGAGACAUAGACUGCAAUCCUGGCUAUCAAAUUUGCUAGUUAUAUGACCUUGGUAAUUUACUUAACCUCUCUGUUCCUCACAUCCUCAUUUAUAAAGUGGCUAUAACACCUACCCCAUAGAGUUGAAUAAGAAAUGAAGAAUACAAAAAACACUCUUAGCACAGAGUAUAGCAUGCAUAUAGCAAAUACUAAA